UAUGGUGAUUAUAGCGAUGGGGUCCACCUCUUCCCAUUCCGAACAGAGAAGUUAAGCCCAUCAGCGCCGAUGGUACUGCCGUAACAGGUGGGAGAGUAGGUCGUUGCCAGUU
rnacentral:rRNA from 1 species